rnacentral:tRNA from 6 species
CCGCCCAUAGCUCAGCUGGAUAGAGCACCAGGCUUCGAACCUGGGUGUCGGGAGUUCGAAUCUCUCUGGGCGGGCCA